ensembl:lncRNA
UUGAAAGUAGAGAUAGUGUCUGUCUCCUGAAUCCAAACUGGAAGCUGGUUCCACAGAAGAGGGGCCUGAAAACUGAAGGCUCUGCCUCCCAUUCUACUUUUAAAUACUCUAGGAACAACAAGACAUCUACACAGCGAACAUCCCAGAUGCAGACGAUGUUGGAUCUUAGAGGACACAAAGUGUCGCUCCUCAGCAGGUCGAUGAAUAUGUCAGCUUGACCAAAAGUUUUAAAACACUUCUCCAGCCCUCUGCUGUCACAGUCUUUCAUUAGACUCGAGGAGAUAAAGCAGCCUCUAUCUCAGUUUCAUGAUUUGUGGAUCUUCCCUUGAACGUUCCUCUCUGGAGUUCUCGGGCUGUUAUGCACGCCAACCAUUAGAUGUCAUCACCGGGCUGACUCAUCCCCCUUUAUGAAGGCCUUAUCGGUGACGUAGGCCUGGCCAGUGUUAUUCUCCCCCACAGGCUCUGGGUCUGCCGUCUUUCACUGAUGAUUUUGUGUUUCUCCGCUUCAGUUGGAGCUCCUUCAUCUGUAAGGAGUCAUUUCUUUUUCUUCACAAUAGGAAGGAAUCUUCACAGACAUCAGUUAGAGGCCAAAAUCCCUCCAAUGUUGUGGGAGUGUCAUAAACGUGCAAACACUCCUGCUUCAAGCCUGACGUCCUGGGGUUUAAAGGGUUAAGACUCUCGUAUGCCGAGCUCAUCUAAAGCUCUUCAAAAUGUUUUUUCUGUUAUAGCCAGAGAAGAAUCCCACACAGUCUGACCAGCAGCAGAGCAAGUGUUGGAGAUUACAAAGAUUCCUUUAUUAAUUCUGUCCCACGUGAGACCUAACCAUGCUUUUUCUUUCUUAAUCAGCAGCUGUGGUGAUGCACGGCUGCAGGAUGACCAGCCGUGCAUCCCACAACUUUUAUUUCUGUUAUUUCUUUUCAAAGCCAAAUAUUUCUUUAAAUUUAAACUUUUCUUUUUCCGAAAAGGGCUCAAGUGUCACUUUGCCUUCCUUCCUCUUACUUUCCUGUUACACUUAAUGACACUAUUUAUUACAUCUUUCCAAUUACUUGUUUGAAUAUUCUUAACAUUACACGUAAAUAAGUUAUUAUUUUAUUUAGUCUUUUACUCACUGAUUAUAUUAUUCUCAGCUUCUCUAUUGUUAUGUCUUAAUUCCCCUGUUUGUAUCUUAAUAGUUUAUCUUUAUUUAAAUUUACUUGAGAACAAGUUUACUUGCUUUAUCAUUUUCCUCCCAGAUGUAUAUUUUCUAACAUUUUAUUCUUAAAUUUAGAGCUUUUUCUUCAUGUUUCCAAUUCUAAGACACGAUUCUUUUACAUUUUUUAUUUAGAGUUCUCAGUUUUUAAUCAUUUGUGUAAGAACCAUCAUCUUCACUGAUGUGGGCCCUAAACUUCCCAGACAUGUUGAUAGCAAUGAUCACUGUAAGUCCUGCGCUUCAGUCUUUUGUUGCUCUUUAUUCACACUUGCACGUAGCUUAAAUGAGUCUAAAGCCCGUGUGCUGUGUGGUGGGGUGGAGCAUUCUGGCCCUCCCCACACACUCCACAGUCAAAGUAACCUGAACCAGCUGCUCACACAUGCAGCAGCACAGUUGAUGUGAGCUCUCAGUACAACGCUUUUCAUUUUAAUUUACACUGUUUCUUUCUUUCUCCCUCUGACACACUCAGGUCCUAAACUUGACUUUAAAUCAUUAAGUUAACACACUCUCACCUGAUAAAACCAGUGUCUCCAGUAAAACUGUCAUCUUCCAACUCUCUAUUCUCCAUCCUGUGACUUUACGCAUAGGUUUACUCUAUAUUUCAAACUUCUCUUCUCCUCUUUUCUCUCAUUGUUCGCCUCUGUAUAACUCACACACACACACACACACACUCACACACACACACACACACACACACACACACACACACACACACACACACACACACACACACACACACACACUCACACACACACACACACACACACACACCACUCACUUCCUGUUCACUUCCUCAGAUGUGUGUACAUUGACCCCAGCUGCAUGCCCUGACGGGGUCCUAUGGACAUGCUUUAACAGUGCCAAGCUGAAUUAACCCAAUGUUGGACUAGUCACAGUUGGCCAUAACACCAUCAAAGGUUUCUUACUUAUCCUCAUUGUUACAUUUUCAAACAGUAUUGGUUAGCCUGUGUUCAUACAACAAAUGGCAAAAGCUUUUCAUUAAUAUGGUGGUAGAUAUAUUUGACCUAAAUAUAUGGGUCAUGUGAUUUGAACAGGCAGGUUAAAUGCUUCAUUAUAAGUGUGCAUAAUAUAUAUGAGCAUGAUUACACAGAUACAUAUAGAUAUAUACUAUAUAGAUAGACAGAUAGAUAAAUGGAUGGAUGUCUGGUUCCUUUAAACCUUGAGCAACAACAUCAACCUUGCAUACUGAAUAUUUCCACACUUGUCAGUCUGUCUAUUUCGUAUUUUGUUUUAGGUGUGUGUGUGUGUGUGUGUGUGUGUGUGUGUGUGUGUGUGUGUGUGUGUGUGUGUGGUUCCUUGUUUUAUUUAAAUUUGAAGUGUAUAUUGUCUCCUGACUGUGUGCAGCAAGCUUGGUGCUCCAUGUCCUUUUUGAGCUUUUCUUUGGUUUGUAAGGUGUUGUGUCAUACUACACACCAGUUGGUAUGUAGUACGCACCAGAAUAAUCCUUAAAAAGAGAGGUAGUUUUAGCUCCUCCCGAUUUUACAGGAGGUCAUCACAGAGCUGAUUUGGCAGAUUUUUACUCCACAUGUUGCUCCAAACACCAAAGUGUCUGUUUGUUUUUAUCGAGUCUGCCACUGCAGGAACCCUCACACAUGCACACACUGUUCCUUUGUUCACUGUGUUUGUGCUGUUUGCUGUGCAGCUCUCACCACUGUCACUGCAACCAUAUCGCGCCAUCGGCACCUCUGGUCCGAUGGCGCGAUAUGGCAGCCUCGCCUCUGUCAGUCUGCCCAGGGCAGCUGUGGCUAUAACUGUAGCUGCCUCCACCAGUGUGUGAAUGUGAGAGUGAAUGAAUAAUGUCAUUGUAAAGCGCUUUGGGUGCCUUGAAAAGCGCUAUAUAAAUCCAAUCCAUUAUUAUUAUUAUUAUUAUUAUUAUUAUUAUUAUUAUUAUUAUUAUUAUAGAAAUAGGAGAGAGAUGAUUGGGCAACUACUGGCAGCUGUGUCAGCCAGGCUCCCCAGCAGUGCCGUUAAACCCACUGCACACAGACCCACACCAUCACACAGUCUCCUGCCAGACUCAAUUCAAUUACAUUUCAAUUUUAUUUAUACAGCGCCAAAUUUCAACAGUCACUUCAAGGCGCUUUAUAUUGUACAGUAGAUCGCACAAUAAUACAUACAGAGAAAAACCCAACAAUCAUUUGACCCCCUAUGAGCAAGCACUUUGGUGACAGUGGGAAGGAAAAACUCCCUUCAAGCUGUCUUUAUCUUACUGGGAACUAGGGGGAUGAAACAAUCGCACAAGUGCUGCUGAUUGGCUAAGGAAGAACAAAGUAGUAAACCAAUCACAUGACCAGUUUAAGAUAGCAGGAAGAUGCUAUGUCAGCCCAGGAGAAACCCGAGUCUCCCUUUUUGUGUUAAAAGUGUGGACUUCAAACUGUAUAUCAGGUUUUAAAUUGUGUUGAUCGGUCACGUAAAACCAGACUCAAGAUAAAAAAUAUACACAAUGUUUUUUUCCUGAAUACUGUCGUCGUGUUUACUGCAGGAAGAAACGGUAAAAACGGCGUUUUCUAAGAAAAGCGCUCUCCACUUGUGAGAGAAAACAAACCCACCCCCACCCUUUCCUAUUGGUGGAAAAAUUUUACAUGUAGGCCAAUCAAAAAAAAAAAUGAUAUGGCAACACGGCGUUUGGUUAUUUAGGAAGAGCAGGAAGUUUUUGGAGUGACAGCAGUGAGAGAACAAAAGAGAGAGAGAGAGAGUUUUGAGAUGUGAGAGAUUUGUGACGCUUAGCAUGUUUGGAGUGUGUAGUUAGUGUGUAGUUAGUGUGUAGUUAGUGUGUAGUUAGUGUUGUCCGGAGGGGUAGAAUAUUUUACUGCUAUUAUUUGCUGCUAUUUUUAUAAUCAUCAUUACCAUUUCAUGUUAAUAGUGAUGUUGCAUUUAGAUGCAUUCAGAUGUUCAAAUAUAUGGUUAUAGUCUUUAUUACAGGUUCAGUUAUAACCACUUCAAACUGUGGAGUUGAAUCUAUAAUUUAAAGGUUUUGAAUGUUUUAUAUUCUUACACUGAAGUCUUCAGUGAGUGAGAAAACUGAGCUGCAGCGACAGGAAGUACAUGUUUUUGAAGUUACAUGCUUUUGCAGAAGUGAAACCGAAAGCAGAGUGAGUGCAAGCCAAAGAGUAGGGUGUUUAUUAUGCAUUUAUUGCGGAUUAAGCCUUAAGUAGUUGUGUUAGAUUGAAACAGUUGUUUUAUAUAUUUUACAUAAGUCAAGAUCAUUACACACAGGAUGGCCCUAGCCUGGUUGCUUGAGUUGAGGUCAACUAAGGUGCAGAGAGCAUCUGCGCACAGACAGACGAGACAUACACACACAUACAGACACAAAUAGUGAGAGAGGUCACGACACGUACGCAGUACACAGCACACACGCGCCCCCGCACGUGCACGCACACACAUAUUAGAUCGACUCAUUUAGGUAAGAGUUUAUAACUGCAAAGUUUGGGUGCGUACGUGGUAGUCUGUUCCAGGAAGUACACCAGAUGUCCCAGAAGAUAAGCGACAGCGAAGGCGGGCUGAGAGGAAGCACCUGGCUUCGACCCGAAGAAGAUGUUUUGUUUUAAACUAUGUUAAAAGUCAUUGUGGUUUUGAGUUGACGUAUGCUGUAUUAAAUCUGCCUGGCAACAGAAAAGGGGGCUGUACUAUCUUAACCCUAUAAAACCGUGGUCUGACGAUUGUAGUUAGUUCAAUACUGAAUCUGAACAGUAUUGGCUCCGCAUAUGUGUAUUCAUUAAAAUGCCGUCUAAUUUGCACCAGGCUGGAUCUGUGGUUGUUUUUGGAUUCCCCCUCAAUAUUCUGAACCUUAACAGUGUGUAGUUAGUGUGUACUGUGGUCGAUAGUUUUGUUGUGUGUGUCAGAACAAUGAGGCGACUGCUGAAUGUCACAGUUCUGUCAAAAAGCCACCAAAGGCAGAUUACAGUGUAAACGCUGUCUGCAGGUGGGAAACAGGAGCAGUGACACACCUGCUGCUGUCAGGCCUGCAGGUAUCAGGCUGUGAUGUGCUGUUUCAUCUUAUAACAGACAGAAAUUAUUUAUUUGAUGCAGAAAACCUGAUUGUUCUGUGAAUAGUUUGAAAUGGUUAUAAAAAUAAAAAAAUGCCUGGGCUGCAUUUUUAGGUAAAUAGUUGCAAAUAACUUUGUUGUUUGCAAAAAUUGUGCAUUGUGGGUUUUUUAAUAUUGACAAUUUCUAUUUGCAUUUCAAGUUAUGAAAAUGACUCGUUAAACAUGUUUGUGGUCGUUACAGUAAAAAAAAUAACUUUUUUCUGUCUGAUUUUAGAUUGUGUGUUAACUGUGUUAAUACAUGAUGUCAAAAUGAAAAAUAACAGUAAAUUCAGACACGUGGGGUUGAAAAGAAUGAUGCCAAACAUGGUGAGAUCAAUAGUUUUUACAGGUGAAAUGUAGGGGUAGAAGCAAAAGUAGUCACAAACAGCCAAAUAUACCCUGCACUCCAGAGGGUUAAACUUUUUUUUUUUUAAGUAACACAAUAUUUACUUUUCCUAGUAAUUAGUUACUUUUAUAAUAUUGUAACUCAGUUACUACCUCAAUUACUUUUUUGAAGAGGUAACUAGUAACUAUAACUAAUUACUAUAACCUGCCCAGCACUGCAAGGGUUAUUUAUCAUUAAGGGUUAUUAAUGAUAAAAAUAAUAACUUAGAUCUGUGUGCUGCCUUUAACUGUCACAUAGUUUUUAUUCUUUGUGUAUGUUGUGUUCUUUUGUACAUGCUGUUCACUUUUGCUUAAUACACCAGCAGGUAGAACCAAAGCAGACAAAAGUAAAGCAGGUUAUUAUUAGAUUAUUAAGAUGCCAAAAGACAGUUAUUUACUUGCAUUCCUGCACAGAUAAAAGUGAUAAAGACUGAGUGCUAUACUUUAUCAUUUUUAAGUGUAGUCUGGUGUGCCAGCUCAAACUUGGGUAUACAAAUGUUAAUCAGGUUGUUAUUUGUCUGAUAAUAUAUAUUUUUUAGUUCUGAAGGAAGGCUGAUGACAGCCUGUAACGGAGUGAAGGCUGGUUUUUCCUGAGACUCUGGAGGGAAUCUCUCAGUAGCCCUCGGUUAAAUACAGCAUCAUGAAAAACCCAGGGGCUGGGAAACUGUGACACCUCAUUCACCUCACAAUCAUGCACACAGAGCUGAAGAAGACCAUUUUUCUUCACUACAAGAGCUAUGAGGCUACACCAAGCUCUCUGUGACUCUUUUAUCCCUCCCAGCUCUAACACAGGAGCCAAUUCCUUCUGAACAAUUUGCCUUUUAUCUUCAGUAAACCUAUAGAGACGUGAGUGCAACAUCAUGUGACCCAAAGCGUCCUUGAAACUUGGCAAGUAUUUUUGAGCUGGACAAAAGAAGCAAUACAAGCACUUUGUCUACUGGUGUCAAUUAUCUGAGUCUAGUCUGCAAAACCACCUAACCUUUCCCUCUUCCUCUGCCUGCAGUCACGACCCGCUCGUCAGGAAAAAACACAAGAAAACCUUCCCUUGUGUAGUAACCAAGUUCCCUGGGCCUGUUAUAAAAUAAAAUGCUUAAAAAGCAUUAUUGCCUUCUGUGUUGCAUCUGCUCUUGGGUCCAUAUUCUCACACCAGCCUCCGGGCCCUGAGCCACUAACAUUUCAUGUAAUAAAUGUAAGAGGUCGGUCUCACAUAGCAGCAUUGUGCAUUUACAGUAAAAAUGGAUAUGGUCUAUAUGGAUGCUACUAAGUUUCUUAGAUAAACACAGUUUAGUUUGCAUUUUGUAUCUUACUGUCUAAUUUUGCUUUGCCCUUUUCCUCUUUAUUCUCUUUAACAUCUCUUUAAUAUAUGUUGUUUCCUGUAUUUCUUUAAUUGAGAAAAAGACUGUAUAAAAUGAUGUACUCAGGUGUCUCUCUUAAUAACUGGCUGGUCUGCAGGAGUCCGUCACUGUGUCACACAAGUACAUAAAUGAAACCAUCACAUGAAUAUAUCUAGAGGUUCCAUGCAGACAGUCAUCAUCAUUAUUACUGAAAACUGUAACUUGAAAGUGUUUUAUUUCUCUGACAGAUGAACAAAGAACCUCUGUGUGUUCACUGUAACUCACAUUUCACUGAUAACACAGUUAUCUUCUCUUGUUCUUAACCUUUACAUAAAUUCAAAAUUUGAAUGUUUAAAUAGGCUUGUGGGUCCGCUUACUGGGGGUUGGUCUAAUUUUUCCCUUUAAAAAUCUUCUUUCUGACUGUUCGUUGCACCUACAACCAGAACACACUGGGAGAACAACGGAGGACGGCAACAGUGUCCAUCUGACAUCAGUCACUACAGGUCUCUUCUUCCUUUUGGGCAGCAGCUGUGAAGAUGGCUGCUCCUUACUGGGUUUCUGUAGUGGUCAUUUUUUUGAUGACUGUUAGAAACGGUGAGACUGUUAUUGACCCAAACAACCUCGCACCAAUUGUAGAAGACAUUCUGAACAGGUACACACCAAGCUACGAUGGUGCAGACGACAACAGAAUUCCCCCCAUGUUCAGUGUGGCUGUGAGCGUCCCGUACAAUAAACAAACAAACAUGUAUGAUAUGAGCAAAGUCCCUGAUGAUGGUGAAGAUGUGAGGAAGACCAUUCUAAACUGUGACGUAUACAAAGGUGACAGAGUGGUGGCAGCCACAGUGCUGAGAUGGCCCAAUGUUCUAACUCAGUGCCCUGAUGCUCAAGUACAGUAGGAUGAUGUUUUGAAGGAAUGUGGUAAACAGCAGAUGACAUGGGCUGAAGUUAAGUUGUGUGGUAAAAUUAAAAUCCAGGAUCACAGAGCUGAUCAUGCAGAGUUUCGAACCCUGCAGGAUUUUCAACCUUUACUCGCAACACAAUCCAAAGAUGAUCUGAUGGUUUUCUACGUCCGUGCCUCCCCAUGUGAUCAGAGAUGUACCAAAAAAGUCAACGAUCGGAAUAUUCUCAUUAGCAUACAAGAGAUAAUGCACUGGAAGGAUUAUGUUGUUGUGUUUUCAGAUGUAUUUAGACCUCGUGAUGGUGGGCAAAUACUUGUGAAUAACCCGCGUGGAUCACUUGAGAGGCUUGGGAAGGCAAUCGGAGAUCCAGGGUCAAAUGGUCUUCAGCAUAUAUUCCGAUGCUACAGGCAGCAAGAAAUGGAUGAAAAUGAAAUGGAGUGCUUUAGCUGCAAUAACAAUGGUAAGGUUGCACUUAGAUGUAUUUUAGGUUAGGUUACCGACCUAAAAAAGCAAACUAUCUGAUGUUUGGAAAAGUUAGGAUAGUGGGGAGAAAGAGAAUAAGAGCAAGAAGAAGCAGAGGAGUAACAGAACAUGGGGCUGAAUGCAGAGAGGAGGAGUAAUGAGAGAAAAUCAUCAGAAUUAACCAGAGAGGGAAAAAGAAAAACAGAAAAUGUAAUCCGUGCUUUGCAUCGUUUUCCUGCAUCCAUGAUUAACUUUAAAUGUGUGUGUACGUCACAGCAAGAUUAACAUGUGCUCCUGAAAUCACAGCUGCAUCGUGCACUCUGGUCAUUCUAGUCCACGAUACUGUCUGUGCCUCUGAUUGUGUCUGUGAACUGAAACACAAACAGUGUGUGUGGAGCGAGUGUAAUCCAUUUAUAGCCUCUGAUACUGUUUCUGAUUAAAGCUUAAUAAACUGCAUUAAAACUGUUGAACUCGAAGAGUUUUCUUCUUCUUCGGCCAUGUUCUCUUAAUAAUGCACACACUUGGUUGGUUGAUUACUUUUCCCGUUUCUUUUAUUGUCAGCAACACAGGAGGGAAAACCAUACAUUCAUUUUAGCAGUUCGCACUUCACAACAUAAGGAACAGGAAGUGAAGUCAUAUAUAAUCACCAAAAUAAAAUCAUUUCCAAAAUAAAAUGACAAUCAGAAAACGUCUUUUACAACAUAAGAUAAAUUAAUAUAUUUACUCAUGAGAACACAAAUCUAACAAAAACAUGUCACAGCUUGGAUCUGGUCUGUCCUUCUUUUAAAGCUUGAUGUUGUAUUUUCUGUUUCUAUGAUUGAAUAUGAAGUUUGAGGUAAAGAUGCUGCAGGUUUUCUAUUCAUGGGUCACUCCACAGAAACUCUGGUCAUACAAACUGUCGGCUCCCAAAUUUUAAAGCCAACAUGAUGACCUUCUCCAGCCAGUGGUGGAGAUCCAGCUGUUUAGAUCCAAUUAGAAUCCAAUCACUCAAAAAGAUCCUCUGGAAACAGUAAUUAUUGAAACAGCAUAAACAGAAUCAGAUGAACACUGAAACAUUACAACACACAGAGCAGCAAGACAACACAUAGCAAAGCAAGCUGAGCAAAGCCCGAGUGUAGAGCCGUCAGCACAGACAGAAAAGACCCCCGAUGUCACCUCUGAGCCUCCAUAACUCCUCCUGCGCAAAGGUCACCUUUCGCGUUCCUCACGAACGCCAUGGGACGUGACAAAACGUCGGUAUGGUAUGCCCCGGGAGUGAGAACGGGCUGUUGUGCCAGAGUGCAUUUUGAAUCAACGCCAUGGGCAUUUUUAGAUUUCACACAGGUGGUUGGUUGUUACACUCUGGAAAUGGAAUAAAGUUGAGUGUUAUUAACCGUCUGUGUGCCGCACCUCACAUGACCGAUUUAAGCUGACAAAGCAACAAGCUGCAGCCACGCCGAGUCUCUAUUUCAGCCCGUGUUGAAAGUUCGGACUUCAAAGUAUACGUCAGUUUUUAAAUUUUAAUAACUUAAUGACAAAAUCCAGAGUUAUGAUUUUAAAAAGUAUAAACGGUUUUUAAAAAAGCAUUUUCCAAUGACAGUAAAACAGUAAAGAGAGGAAAAAAGGCCAACUCUUUCCUAUUGGUGGAAAAAUGUACCAUGUCGACCAAUAAAAAGAAGGCAACAUGUGAGAUUUGGUUGUUUAGGAACUCCCGUUGUCUCAGCAGGGCCAGAAACAUCUUAAACGACACUACCCACCCCGGCUACCAUGUUUUUAACCUACUACCCUCUGGCAGGCGUUUCAGAUCCAUAUGGGCCAGAACAAACAGACUCAGGGACAGCUUCUUCCCCAAAGCCAUCACCAUACUCACUCAAACUUGCACAAAAAGUAAUCUGCACUGAAAUAUCAUCAAUUCUCUGCCUGUCUGUCACCCAGUACUGUACUGUGUAUUUAUAUUUAUAUUAAGUGUAUCUUUAAAUAAUUGUAUAGUUUUUAUAAUGUGCUAAAGCAUGUGUACACAUUUAUAGAGCUGUUUCUAAUCUUGUUACUUGUAUAAUGACAGUAAAGGCUUUUACAUUUCACACUGAAGGACCCGUCCAAUCCAAUAAACUGUUCCAACUUCUGCAAUCCAGCAGAAGGUUCAGAUAAUCCAGGCAAGGACAGAGAGAAUCAAGAGGAGCUUCUAUCCCCAAGCCAUCCGGGCCCUAAACCGUAACAUGAACCUUGAGACCCAGAACUGUGAGCCAUGCAACCACAGCCUGCUGCACCACUGAGGCUUCCAGCUCACAACCCGGCCACCAACAGACAGUCUGAUACGAGCAGUGUGGGGGAGUAAUGGAGUACAUGUACUGACAUUACAUACUGUAGCGGGCCAGGGCUGUUCGGGGUUUUGUUAUUGACAUUUAUGUUCUGUUGCCAUGGUUACGGGUGACGCUCUCUCUGCAACUGUGUGUUUCCAGGUGAGAGAGCGCCAUUUUGUGUUGUUGUUGUUGUGGUUGCCGCGCGGAGCAGUUUGCUAGCGGCAGUGCUCCUGCACAGAUUUAAUAAAUGGCUGUGCUCCCUGGCUAGCUCGCGGGAAGCAAGACCAAACAAUACCUCUGUCUCCUCCUUGUCUGAGCUCGCCACAAUAUUUAAAAUGCAAAAUAUGAGUAACUGUAUUCUGUUACAGUUACCUUUUAAAUAGGUGAAGUUCACCAUAGUGAUGUGAGGCAGAACCCAGAGAGAUUUUCUUACUGCAUCAAUGUUUUAGGAGAGCAGAGUUUCUCUUCAGGCAGAUUUUACUUUGAG